rnacentral:rRNA from 1 species
GUGAGGAAUAUUGGUCAAUGGGCGAGAGCCUGAACCAGCCAAGUCGCGUGAAGGAAGAAGGAUCUAUGGUUCGUAAACUUCUUUUGCAGGGGAAUAAAGUGCAGGACGUGUCCUGUUUUGUAUGUACCCUGAGAAUAAGGAUCGGCUAACUCCGUGCCAGCAGCCGCGGUAAUACGGAGGAUCCGAGCGUUAUCCGGAUUUAUUGGGUUUAAAGGGUGCGUAGGGGGUUUGAUAAGUCAGCGGUGAAAGUUUGCAGCUUAACUGUAAAAAUGCCGUUGAAACUGUCGGACUUGAGUGUAAACGAGGUACGCGGAAUGCGUGGUGUAGCGGUGAAAUGCAUAGAUAUCACGCAGAACUCCGAUUGCGAAGGCAGCUUACUAAGCUACAACUGACACUGAAGCACGAAAGCGUGGGGAUCAAACAGGAUUAGAUACCCCUGUAGUCC